AGAAUAUUAAAAAGAUUCAUACUCAAGGGUUGAACUUUAAUAAAAUCAAUAACUUCUACUGAUUCAUCAAGGACUUUUUUUUUAACGUUUAUUUUUGAGAGAGCACAAGCAGGGGAGGGGCAGAGAGAGAGGGAGACACAGAAUCUGAAGAAGGCUCCAGGCUCCCAGCUGUCAGCACAGAGCCCGACGAUGCGGGGCUGAAACUUCCGAACCCUGAGAUCAUGACCUGAGCCGAAGUCGGAAGCUUAACCCACUGAGCCACCAAGGCCCCCAUCAAGGACAUUCUUAAAUGAAACUGGCUUUCCUCCCUGUACCGUGUUUCCAUAAGCGGAGGUGCAAGAUUCACAUGUAUAUGCAAGUAUAUGGACCCAAACGGGACAAAGCAAUUCCCCUACAUGGCAGGGAGAACGCCGUGAGAAGACAGCAGAGACCUGGGUGACACAGCCAAGGAACACCAAAGAUUGGCAGCAAACCACCAGAAGCCAGGAGAGAGGCACAGAACACAUUCUCGCAGCCCUCAGAAGGAGCCAACCCUGCAGAAACCCUGGUCUCAGACUUCAGCCUCCAGAGCUGUGACACAAUACGUUUCUGUUGUUUAAGCCAUCCAGUUUGUGUUACUUUGUUACAAAUGCCCUUGCAAAAGAAUAUAUGGUAUGACCGGGUUCAAACAAAGGUAUUCUGGCUCCAGAGCUUAUAUUCUUUUUUUAAAAAAAUGUAUUUAUUUAUUUUGAAAGAGAAUGAGAGCAAGCCUAAGGUUUAAUCCUGGUGGAAUUAGAGGUAAGAUUUUGCCACAAGUGGCUUGAUGGUGGGAUAUAGAUCACUCUUCCUGAGGUCUUCUGCUGGUUUCAGAAAAGAGUAGAAAUGAUGUUUGAUGAUUUUGCUCCUACAUAUAUUUUUAAAACACACACACACACACACACACACACACACACAAGUUCAACUUUCUACUUACCCUGAGUUUCUAUGAGGAGGUUUCUAUAAAGGAUAGUGAAGAAAUGGAUCCAAUGAUUAAAAAUUAAUUUUGCCUGAAUCUGUGAAUCACAAGGUCGAAAACGGUCAUCUGAUUGACUUUAGACUCUUAAAAUUGGAAUGCUAUUCGGCUUAGCGGUCUGCGAAGGUCCAACUUUAGUCUUAGCGAAACCCUGCGGGGCACUUUAAAGCUCUUUAACAACUGGAAAUCUUUUUAUGUCAAUGAUGUAUGUGUCCGUGGAGCACAAACAUGUGGUUUACAUUUCCCUUGAAAUGUGCAUGAAGUUAGAAUUAAAAGACUGGUUGCUUGGCAAAGGUCAUCAUUUGGCAAGAGGGUGCUUGGUCUUGCUGAUGCCAUUCCUAUUUGGAAAGCAGAUGGGGAGACCUUUUGCCUAUCUCAAAAAAUAUCUCAAUCCUCUAUUUGUAAUUAAUGAGCAUAAAGGGGAAGCCAAUUUUUCAGAUAUUCAGACCAGAUCAGAGAAGCCAAUUUUUCCCCUAAGGGGAAAAUCAUUUAAUGCUUAAGGAUGAAAAAUAUUUUAUGUCAUUCAAGAUAGGAUAUCUGUGCCUUCUUGCUCUGCAGCAGUACUUAUUUUCAAACAUUUUCUUGGCCCAUGACGUGUGACCAAAAUGCAAAAGAGGCUGGGUAAAAGGAAAGAUCCCUGGGAAGUUUUCUCCUCCUAGAGAAAGAGCCUAUGUAGUGUUUAGCAACCCGGUGUUCUCUAGACCCCUGUUCCUCAGUGUGAGGUGUGUAGACCAGCACCGUUAGCAUCACUGGGAAGCCUACGAGGAAUACAGAAUCCCAAGCUGCAUCUUGGACCUAAUGGAUAAGGAUCCACAUUCUCACAAGAUCUACAGGUGGUUCAUAAGCACAUGAAAAUUCGAUUCUCAACUUUGUUUCUCACUGUUGAGACACAGACUAGUGAGACAAAUUUUAGCUGCUCUGUGUUAGCUCCUCUCCAUCCUGCUGCAUGGCAACGGUGCUUGGAGCUUGGCUUUUCUUCCCCACCAGUCCCUUUCCCUCAUUCUUGAGGUUCUUGCUAGGGAACUGGGCUCUUACCAUGUGUCAGUCACUUUGCUAAGUCCUUUACAUAUAUUAAAUUAUUUAAUCCUUGAAACAAACUUAUGAGGUAGCACUAUUAACCUCUGAAUUUGACAGAUGAGGAAACUGAGGCACACAGGAGUAACUUGCCUAAAGUCAGACAGCUUGUACAUGAUGAAACAUGGGUUCAAACAAAGGUAUUUGGGCUCCAGAGCUUAUAUUCUUUUUUUAAGAAAAGUGUAUUUAUUUAUUUUGAGAGAGAACGAGAGCAGGGGAGGGGCAGAGAGAGACAGAGAGAGAGAGAGAGAGAGAGGAGAGAGGGAAUCCCAAGCAGGCUCCGCACUGUCAGCACAGAGCCCAAUGUGGGGCUCGAACCCAUGAACCAUGAGAUCAUGACCUUAGCUGAGAUUAACAGUUGGACGUUUAACCGACUGAGCCACCCAGGC